AGCCUGGGGAUAUAGCAGGGGAGGGCAUCACCACCCGGCGCCCCGACAUCCCCAACGCCUGCCACCCGCCCCUGGACACACGAGCUCAGAAGGAAGGGCACUUACCCAGGCAACUCGACUAACACGACGCUCAGGGCCCUGGACACCUAGGAUGGCAGGUCUCCAACUGCAGCACCAGACGCCUCCCGAGUGCCCCCGGCCCCACGCACCCCGGCAGGGGCUCCCGGCUCCAGUCGAUGGUGUAGGCCGAGCCGUCCUGGAGCCUUGCCUGCAGCACCUCCUUGAGCAGCUUCUCCGUCCGGUCCUUGUCCUCCUCCGACUCGCAGGCAGUGAAGCAGCGCUCCACGUACUCCUUCAUGUCCUGCGGCCAGUCGUCGGGCUUACCGGACAGGUUCCCCCUGGCGGAGGGAGGACAGGUGCAGACACUCGGUUGGGGAGUGGUACCCCACGACCCAGGUGGGACCGUCAUCACCGCCCCUCCCGGGCAGGCACCCAGGGCGAGCCCGUGGGGCAGGGGGGCUCUCUGCUUUCUAAGGAGCAGGCCGUGCCAGUGGGCCGCACACAGAUGCUGAGCACGGUGCCCAAGGGCUGGGGCCGGGCAAGGGGGCGGCCGUCACCUGUGGUUCUGGGCCUUCUCGGGGUUGGGCUGGGGACCGAAGCUGCCGUGCUGGCCCUCCGUGGUGGAGCCAAAGCUCUGGCUUGUGACAGCGAAAGGCCGUUUCUGAAUGUUGAACUUGAGCCCACCAGUCCCAGGGGCCGCUGUGAGGGCAGCGAAAGCUGAGGUGAGGCCUCCCCCGCCCACGUGGGCGGCCCCGCCCCCACCCCCGGGGCAGGAGCCCUGAGCUCCAGAGAAGGGCGCCCAUUCCGAGUGGCCCCACGCACCGCCCCGGGAGGUCCCAAGAGCGAAGCAAGGUCCAAGCACCCCACGUGCCUCGCGCCAGGAGUCCUGUGAGGCCCCCUCCCCUCCACGGCCCAAGGCCACUCACGCUUCAUGCGGUUCCACAGCUGCUGGCCCUUCUUGGGCUUGGCGGGCUCGCUGUAGCCAUGCUGCCCGUAGGCCUGGCCCGAGGCAGAUCCUGCCUGGCUGUGCUGCGUGGCAGGGGCCGUCCCUGGCUGCGGACCGCUGCUCAAAGGAGAGCCACCACCUCUACCACCGGACACGAGCACCGCCCCCUCCUCAGGCUCGAUUCCCAGGGACAACGACCACAUGGUGCCCUACUCACUACUCAAGGGCUCCCAGGAUGUCCUCAGAGCACCCUGCCCUGGUGAUGCGAGAGGACACCAAGUGUGUGCGUGUGCCCCACGCCCGCGCAGGGGACGCUGCUCACCUGUGCACUGGCCACGGGCCCGCUGCUGCUGGCCUUGGCAGAGCUGCCGGCAGCUCCCGCUUUGCUGAUGCUGGCCAGGGCCUGGCGGGCCUUCUCCCACUCGGGGUUCUCGUGCAUGGGGGUCUCCAUGCCACUCUCUCUGCCUGCCCCGGCCACCAUGCUGUACUGAGAGGACCUGCAGAAAGGGAACAUCAAGUCAGCCCAUUCUCCCACUGCAGACGGUGGGCAGGACGGAAGCAGGCAAACCCCAGGGCUUGAAUCCCAGAGCCUCAAUUUCCUAAUCUGUGACACACUGACAGCCGGUUUCUGCGUCACAGUCUUCAGUGAGCGACAGAUGCGAUUACCUACCUAAGGUACUUUUGCAGAUGCCUGCUACAUACAGACGUUAAAACUCAAACCAAAGAAUUACCAGUAACCACAAGACUUAAAACAAGACCUGAUGCCUGACAGAUCUAAAUGCUUUACGAAACCACAAAUUCUGUCUGAUAGCACCUCAGUCAGAAAGUCAUCACACUGUUUUGGAAAAAACGAGGAA